rnacentral:rRNA from 1 species
UCAGGCCUAACACAUGCAAGUCGAGCGGCAGCGGGAAAGUGGCUUGCUACUUUUGCCGGCGAGCGGCGGACGGGUGAGUAAUGCCUGGGAAAUUGCCCAGUCGAGGGGGAUAACAGUUGGAAACGACUGCUAAUACCGCAUACGCCCUACGGGGGAAAGCAGGGGACCUUCGGGCCUUGCGCGAUUGGAUAUGCCCAGGUGGGAUUAGCUAGUUGGUGAGGUAAUGGCUCACCAAGGCGACGAUCCCUAGCUGGUCUGAGAGGAUGAUCAGCCACACUGGAACUGAGACACGGUCCAGACUCCUACGGGAGGCAGCAGUGGGGAAUAUUGCACAAUGGGGGAAACCCUGAUGCAGCCAAGCCGCGUGUGUGAAGAAGGCCUUCGGGUUUAAAGCACAUUGAGCGAGGAGGAAAGGUUGAUGCCUAAUAC